ACCGCGGAGGAGGCGAAGGAAACUUUCCCAGAGUUCCUUCGAGCUCCCUGGGUCCCCGCGGGGGCCCACGAGACAGCAGCGGGCGGGGAGGGGGCUGGGGUCGGCUGCGGAUUGGGUGACGAUCGGGCGGAGCACGAGGACACCGUUCCAGCUCUGAGAGGCCCCAGAAACCCUUGCUGUUGUGAGCCUGGGCAGCCGAAGGAUGCGGCUGUUAGUCCGGCAGACAUUCUCACGCCAGGGGUGGGCCAGCUAGGCUCCAGGGUGGUGGGCAGCGUGCUCUCGGCUGCCUGUGCAGCUACCACCGGAGCAGCCCAGCAAACAUCUCCAGAAGCUGUCCGGUGGAGAGCAGACCACAUUUGGGGUGCGAGGCCAGAAGUCCCGCUGCAGGACUUCGCGGUACACUGGCACCCUCCAUUCUAAUAGGUCUUCCGUCCCCAGAUCACUCGGGUGCAAGGGACAGCUCCAGGAUGUCAGGUGCACACAGCCUUACCCCAAGCCCCGGCAGCCCGAGGCCCCACCCUGACGAGUCCGCAUGUUUGAAGCGCGGUAACCAGAAUGACCUACGAGUGUGCAUGUUGUCGCCUGAGGAGACGCCAUUCUACAUUUGGAGAUUGUGACUUCCAAACCAGGGCAAGAAGCAUAAAAAAGACGCUAGCGGACAGAGUCUGGCUGGGGGGCGGGGAGGGGGCGGUGCCGAGAGUCGGGGAAAAGGAUCACGUGGCGGAAGCGGAAGCGCCAGCCUUCUCUCAGCUUCUCCCAACCUAUCAUUGGACAGAUCUGCAUCUAAGAAGUCUGAACCUGGGUCUCCCUCUAACUUUUGUCCAUCCAGGUCCAGGGCGAUGGCUCCGCCUGGGGAUCCGCGGCGCCUCUGCAGGCUGGUGCAAGAGGGCCGACUGCGCGCCCUUCAGGAGGAACUGGCGGUAGCUGGAGGUUGCCGGGGGCCAGCCGGGGACACCCUUCUCCACUGUGCAGCACGCCACGGGCGCCAGGACAUCCUAGCGUACCUAGUGGAGGCUUGGAGUAUGGACAUCGAGGCUGCCAACCGAGACUACAAGCGGCCUCUGCACGAAGCUGCCUCUAUGGGCCACCGGGACUGCGUGCGCUACCUCCUGGGCCGAGGUGCAGUCGUGGACUCCUUGAAGAAGGCGGACUGGACUCCUCUGAUGAUGGCUUGCACAAGGAAGAACCUUGACGUGAUCCAGGACCUUGUAGAACACGGUGCCAAUCCACUCCUGAAGAACAAGGAUGGCUGGAACAGUUUCCACAUUGCCAGUAGAGAAGGCCACCCUGUGAUCCUCCGCAAUGCACGGCUGUUUCGAGGCAGUCCGGGUGCUUCUUGAGAGGUAAGCACAAAACGGUGUCACUAUGAACCAGACUGUCGAGACAACUGUGGUGUCACGCCCUUCAUGGAUGCAAUUCAGUGUGGCCACGUUAGUAUAGCCAAGCUGCUCCUUGAACAACAUGAGGCUUCCUCUUCAGCUGCAGAUAGCAUGGGGGCCCAGGCUCUACACCGAGCAGCAGUCACUGGGCAGGAUGAAGCCAUACGGUUCCUGGUAUGCGGUCUUGGCAUCGAUGUAGAUGUGAGAGCAAAGUCCAGCCAGCUCACAGCACUUCACUAUGCAGCGAAGGAAGGACAGACGAAUACAGUUCAAACUCUGUUGUCCUUGGGUGCCGACAUCAACGCUACAGAUGAAAGAAAUCGCUCAGUCCUGCAUCUGGCCUGUGCAGGUCAGCAUGUGGCUUGCACCAGGUUCCUCCUACAGUCGGGCCUGAAGGAUUCUGCAGACCUCACAGGCACCUUGGCCCAGCAGCUCACGAGAAGUGUAGAUAUCCUUCAGGACUUUGACCAUGACGUGAAAUCGUAGGAUGCUUGAAGAAGGAGGUGAUGGAGUUCAAGGCCGUUCAUAUUCUGCUCCUUCAGUUGCUGAGAGACAGGUUAUCGAGGUACUUCUCGGCCAGCGUUUUCAUCUCCUCCUGCCUUUCCUUCUGCAUGCUUUUCAGUCGAAUGACCAGGAGUCUGGAUUCCUGGCAUGUUGUGUGAUAUUGAACGUAGCCAUUUGUUUUUUCAUUUUAAAAGUGUAAUGAGGGUUAAACUGAGAACUUCCACACGCUCAGCAAGUGCUGUGCCACUGAAGCACAUCACCAGCCCCGGAUCUUGGCUUUUCUAUGCUGCAAGGAGAAUCAGGUUAAGCAUAGAGGUUUGCGUAUCCUUAGGGAGUGAAUGUAAUAUAUGUGUCUUUAAAUAUAUAAAAAUCUAAUAAAACAAUAUAAACUGA